rnacentral:lncRNA from 1 species
AUGACCUUUUCCAAAAGCCCCAAGCCAGCUCUGCCAGUGUUCCCCGAUGGCCAGGUGUGGUGUAGCUUGGCCAAAGCUGUGCACCCAGAACCUCUACCAUCCUCCUUAACUUUAAUUCCAGAACCCAUUUCAUCAUUCACGGCAUGCUCUCAGCCUGCAAGCUCCUGUCACAAUGGAUUGUUAGCACAUCAUCAUAGGGUGUUGGAUAACCAAACCCAUAGCGGGGAGAAAAGAGGACUACAGGACUCAGUUUCCACUUGGUGACUCUUAGUAAAGGGAUAGAGGCAGCUGGACUGGGAGGCAGAAGGUACACUUCAGGAGAGUGCUUCUGGAGGCAUUUUCCCCUUAUGUGUUGGCAGGUCAGGGAUUGAGAAUGUAUGGCUUGUCCUUUCCACUGAUAUUCUUAAUCAGAGAAUGACAUUUACCUCUUAACAAUUCCUCAUUGUAAGCCAAAUCCUCACCAGAACAACCUGUAGUAUUGUUCUCCUGUUACCAUGAUAAAUUAGGCAUGUGAGACAUGCUGAAUCAUGACAACGCUCCUGUACACAGUUGUUCCUUGUGCUGAGAAAUUAGUAUUUUGUCAUGUACAGCUUUAUUAUGGUCCUCUUUAUUAUGGAACUGAUGUUAGGGUCUUCAAGAAGUUGCAAGAAAGUGGGAAGUAUACUAGCUGCUCUGGGAAUUUAAGCACAGGCAUAUGGAAUAUUCUGAGGAGCUUGGACCUGGUUUAUGGUUGAUCUAGCUACUAAUCUAGAUCAGUGCUAGAUCUAGCUUUGUUUCUGCGUGCAUACUUCAUAGAAGCUCACAGAAUCACAGAACAGUUUGGGCUGGAAGAGACCUUAACUAUUAUAUGCUUCCACCUCACCCUACCAUGGGCAGUUCACCUUCCACUACACCAGGUUGCUCAAAGUCCUGUCCUGAUAGAUAACACAGAGUUGCUGGAUAGAACUUCAAGACCAACUAACAAAAAUGAUAAAAGAAUGUAAAAGUGUGCACACAGGACGAUUAAUGUAAUCAGUAGAUAAACAGAUAGUGAGGAUUAGAGUGCCUUUUUGAGCCAAGUUAUGUAAAAAUAAGCAACAGAGCAUGUCCUAAGAGAAGUUCAAGGAAAUGUCAUCUGUAAUAUUGGGGGCACUUGGUGAGUACAACCACCAAAGACCCCUUCAGACAACCCUCUAGGAACAUUAAAAGACUUUGAGUAGGACGCAGCUGCAUACAAAUUAAUUAUAUGAAAAGUGAUGUUUAUGUGCCAGCCAGAAGUACACUGUAAUCAAUAUGUAUGAUCAUGAUGGAAUAAAUAACUUGUUGUACCUUCUGGACA